UUAUGGCUCAGGACGAACGCUGGCGGCAUGCUUAACACAUGCAAGUCGAACGGACUGAUCCUCGGGAUGAAAGUUAGUGGCGAACGGGUGAGUAAUGUAAUGAGCAACCCUGCCUCUAUCAACGGGAUAACAGUUGGAAACGACUGCUAAUACGGUAUAAGACCACGGCACCGCAUGAUGCUGCGGUAAAAGAUUUUUCGGAUAGAGAUGGGCUCAUAUCCCAUUAGCUAGUUGGUGAGAUAACAGCCCACCAAGGCGACGAUGGGUAGCCGAGCUGAGAGGCUGAUCGGCCACAUUGGGACUGAAACACGGCCCAGACUCCUACGGGAGGCAGCAGUGGGGAAUAUUGGGCAAUGGAGGCAACUCUGACCCAGCAAUGCCGCGUGAGUGAUGAAGGUAAUUUUAUUGUAAAGCUCUUUUCUCAGGAACGAAUAAAGAUGACGGUACCUGAGGAAUAAGCCCCGGCUAACUACGUGCCAGCAGCUGC
rnacentral:rRNA from 1 species